GAUGAAGAACGCAGCGAAAUGCGAUACGUAAUGUGAAUUGCAGAAUUCAGUGAAUCAUCGAGUCUUUGAACGCACAUUGCGCCCCCUGGUAUUCCGGGGGGCAUGCCUGUCCGAGCGUCAUUGCUGCCCUCAAGCCCGGCUUGUGUGUUGGGUCUCGUCCCCCUUCCCGGGGGGACGGGCCCGAAAGGCAGCGGCGGCACCGCGUCCGGUCCUCGAGCGUAUGGGGCUUUGUCACCCGCUCUGUAGGCCCGGCCGGCGCUUGCCUAUCAACCAAAACUUUUUUCCAGGUUGACCUCGGAUCAGGUAGGGAUACCCGCUGAACUUAAGCAUAUCAAUAAGCGGAGGA
rnacentral:misc_RNA from 1 species